rnacentral:rRNA from 1 species
CACGUAGGGUGCAAGCGUUGUCCGGAAUUAUUGGGCGUAAAGGGCUCGUAGGCGGUCCGUCACGUCGGGAGUGAAAACUCGGGGCUCAACCCCGAGCCUGCUUUCGAUACUGUCGGACUAGAGGUAGGUAGGGGAGAGCGGAAUUCCUGGUGUAGCGGUGAAAUGCGCAGAUAUCAGGAGGAACACCGGUGGCGAAGGCGGUUCUCUGGGCCUUACCUGACGCUGAGGAGCGAAAGCGUGGGGAGCGAACAGG